rnacentral:rRNA from 1 species
UUUUAAUCCAACAUCGAGGUCGCAAACUUUUCCAUUGAUGAGGACUCUCCGGAAAAAUAACGCUGUUAUCCCUAAGGUAAAUUUUUCUUUUAAUCAAUAAAACUGGAUCAAAACAUAAAUUAAUGGAAAAUUUAAUAAAAGUUAUUAAAAUUUUAAUGUCACCCCAACAAAAUUUUUUAUUCUAAAUAAGCCUUUUAAUAACCAAAAAGAAAAUUUUAUAUAAAAAAUAAAUUUCUAUAGGGUCUUCUCGUCCUAUAAAAAAAUUUAAACUUUUUAAUUUAAAAAUUAAAUUCAAUAAUUAAAAUAAAGAAAGAAAAUUUUUCAUUAAACCAUUCAUACUAGCCUCCAAUUAAAAGACAAAUGAUUAUGCUACCUUCGUACAGUUAAAAUACCGCAGCCUUUUAAUUUUUUAAAUCAAUGGGCAGGCCUGAUUUUAUAUUAAAAUCAAAAAACCAUGUUUUUGUUAAACAGGCGA